GCCAGUCUAGCUCAAAGGAAGAGCAGUUGCCAAACGAUGCAAGUUCGAUUCUUGCGACUGGGUU
rnacentral:tRNA from 1 species